rnacentral:rRNA from 1 species
GACGAACGCUGGCGGCGUGCUUAACACAUGCAAGUCGAACGGAAAGGCCCUGCUUUUGUGGGGUGCUCGAGUGGCGAACGGGUGAGUAACACGUGAGUAACCUGCCCUUGACUUUGGGAUAACUUCAGGAAACUGGGGGUAAUACCGGAUAGGAGCUCCUGCUGCAUGGUGGGGGUUGGAAAGUUUCGGCGGUUGGGGAUGGACUCGCGGCUUAUCAGCUUGUUGGUGGGGUAGUGGCUUACCAAGGCUUUGACGGGUAGCCGGCCUGAGAGGGUGACCGGCCACAUUAGGCCUGAGAUACGGCCCAGACUCCUACGGGAGGCAGCAGUGGGGAAUAUUGCACAAUGGGCGGAAGCCUGAUGCAGCAACGCCGCGUGCGGGAUGACGGCCUUCGAGUUGUAAACCGCUUUCGCCUGUGACGAAGCGUGAGUGACGGUAAUGGGUAAAGAAGCACCGGCUAACUACGUG